CUCCUUCAUACAAGCAGAAUACACCGUUGCUAUUAGCUGCUCUGUUUUACAAUGUGCCCUGAUAACAGCUAUCCAGGUGUGUGUGCUUGCCAGUGAUAUCUGUAGGGGACAAGCUCUGGCACCCUCUGGAUUGGCGUCCACUCGGGGAACUCCCCACUUCUGGAAGAGCACUCUGACGACCUCAGGGUGGAGGGACCACUCAUGAUGAGAGAAUAUGGACCUGCUGAGGUGAUCUGCCAGCGUGCUCUGGACGCCAGGGAGGUGCGAGGUCUCCUGGCAAAGAGCUGAAGAAUGUGCUCCCUCUUGCCUGUUGACAUAGAACAUGGGAGGCCAUGUUAUCCAUCAAUAUCUGCACCACCCGACAGGACAGUUGGGCAAGGAAGACACCGCAGGCCAGAGAGAUGACCCUGAGUUCCCUGAUGUUUAUAUGUAACGCAAGCUCCUCUCGAGACCAUAACCCUCAGUGUACUGAGAUGUGCUCCCCAUCCGAGAUCGGAUGCAUCCGAAAUCAAGGAGACCAUGGGUCGCGGGCUCUCGAACAGCACACCUUCCAACAUCAACAUUGGGUCGGACCACCUCUGCAGAGAGAUAAGUACCCUCAGAGGGAUUGUGAUGACUUUAUCUAAGUGAUGUCUGGCUGGGGAGUAGACCAAUGUCACCCACACUGGGAGGGGACACAGCCUGAGUCUCGCAUGGCAGACAACAUAUGUGCAUGCUGUCAUGUGACCCAAUAGUCUGAGACAGACCCGGGCUGUGGUGUGUGGAUGUGAGGUGAUGCUGGCAAUCAGAUCUGACAUUGCCUUGAAGCUGGCCUCUGGCAGAAAUGUUCUGGCUCGGGUAGAGUUGAGAACCGCUCCGAUAAACUCUAUCUGUUGGACCAGGAUUAACAUUGAUUUUUGUUCAUUUAGCAGCAGGCCGAGAGCUUGACAAAGUGGCUCACAUCGUCUCAACGCUGCGCUGGACCAUGAUCCUAGAGUGGCCCUGGAUGAGACAGUUGUCGAGGUACAGGUAAAUCUGGAUACUCUGAUGUCUGAGGUAGGCCACCACCACCAACAUGCAUUUCAUAAACACCCUUGGAGUCGUUGCUAGGCCAAAAAGGAGCACUGUGAAUUGGUAGUGGGCGGUCCCAACUACGAAACGUAGGAACCAUCUGUGACUGUGGAAUGUCGAUAUGUGAAAGUAAGCGUCCUUCAGAUCAAGGGUGGCAUUCCAGUCUCCCAGAUCCAGGGAAGGAAUGAUGGAGGCAAAGGAGAACAUGCAGAACUUCAACUUCUUGAGGUACUUGUUGAGGAUCCGUAGGUCGAGGACGGGGCAUA